AAUGAACGUUGGCGGCGUGGAUUAGGCAUGCAAGUCGAGCGGUAAGGCCCCGCAAGGGGUACACGAGCGGCGUAAGGGACAGUAAUGUGUAGGUACGUACCUCCGGGCCUGGGAUAGCUGCGGGAAACUGCAAUUAAUACCAGAUGAUGUCUCCGGACCAAAGGUGUGAUUCCGCCGGGAGAGCGGCCUACAUCCUAUUAGCUAGUUGGCGGGGUAAUAGCCCACCAAGGCUUAGAUGGGUAGCAGGUGUGAGAGCACGACCUGCGUCACUGGGACUGAGACACUGCCCAGACACCUACGGGUGGCUGCAGUCGAGAAUCUGCGGCAAUGGGCGCAAGCCUGACCGAGCGACGCCGCGUGCGGGAUGAAGGCCUUCGGGUUGUAAACCGCUGUCAGAGGGGAUGAAGUGCUAGUGGGUUCUCUCAUUAGUUUGACUGAUCCUCAAAGGAAGGGUGGGCUAAGUUCGUGCCAGCCGCCGCGGUAAAAC
rnacentral:rRNA from 1 species